rnacentral:rRNA from 1 species
UACGUAGGGUGCAAGCGUUGUCCGGAAUCACUGGGCGUAAAGGGCGCGUAGGCGGCCUGGUAAGUAGGGGGUGAAAUCCUGCGGCUUAACCGCAGGGCUGCCUUCUAAACUGUCAGGCUUGAGCACGGUAGAGGCAGAUGGAAUUCCCGGUGUAGCGGUGGAAUGCGUAGAGAUCGGGAAGAACAUCAGUGGCGAAGGCGGUCUGCUGGGCCGUUGCUGACGCUGAGGCGCGACAGCGUGGGGAGCAAACAGG